GUCCAGACUCCUACGGGAGGCAGCAGUGAGGAAUAUUGGUCAAUGGGCGGAAGCCUGAACCAGCCAAGUCGCGUGAGGGAUUAAGGCCCUAUGGGUCGUAAACCUCUUUUGUCAGGGAGCAAUGGCGUCCACGUGUGGGCGUAUGGAGAGUACCUGAAGAAAAAGCAUCGGCUAACUCCGUGCCAGCAGCCGCGGUAAUACGGAGGAUGCGAGUGUUAUCCGGAUUUAUUGGGUUUAAAGGGUGCGUAGGCGGGGCCUUAAGUCAGCGGUAAAAGUGCGGUGCUCAACGCCGUAGAGCCGUUGAAACUGGCGUUCUUGAGUGGGCGAGAAGUAUGCGGAAUGCGUGGUGUAGCGGUGAAAUGCAUAGAUAUCACGCAGAACCCCGAUUGCGAAGGCAGCAUGCCGGCUUCCGACUGACGCUGAAGCACGAAAGCGUGGGGAUCGAACAGGAUUAGAUACCCCCGUA
rnacentral:rRNA from 1 species